rnacentral:rRNA from 2 species
CCAAUAGCGUAUAUUAAAGUUGUUGCAGUUAAAAAGCUCGUAGUUGAAUUUCGGGAUUGACACAUCGGUCGUGCCUUAAGGGGUAUGAACUGGUGUAGUCAAUUUCUCACCUUCUGGAGAACCGCGAUGUCCUUAAUUGGGUGCCGCGAGGAACCAGGACCUUUACUUUGAAAAAAUUAGAGUGUUUAAAGCAGGCAUUU